rnacentral:rRNA from 1 species
CGAGCGCAGGAAGCAAAGCAGAUUCCCCUUUCGGGGGUGACGCUUGUGGAAUGAGCGGCGGACGGGUGAGUAACACGUGGGCAACCUGCCUGUAAGACUGGGAUAACCCCGGGAAACCGGGGCUAAUACCGGAUAAUACUUUUCUUUGCAUAAAGGAAAGUUGAAAGGCGGUUUCGGCUGCCACUUACAGAUGGGCCCGCGGCGCAUUAGCUAGUUGGUGAGGUAACGGCUCACCAAGGCGACGAUGCGUAGCCGACCUGAGAGGGUGAUCGGCCACACUGGGACUGAGACACGGCCCAGACUCCUACGGGAGGCAGCAGUAGGGAAUCUUCCGCAAUGGACGAAAGUCUGACGGAGCAACGCCGCGUGAGUGAUGAAGGUUUUCGGAUCGUAAAACUCUGUUGUUAGGGAAGAACAAGUCGGGUAGUAACUGACCCGGCCUUGACGGUACCUAACCAGAAAGCCCCGGCUAACUACGUGCCAGCAGCCGCGGUAAUACGUAGGGGGCAAGCGUUGUCCGGAAUUAUUGGGCGUAAAGCGCUCGCAGGCGGUCCUUUAAGUCUGAUGUGAAAUCUCGCGGCUCAACCGCGAACGGUCAUUGGAAACUGGAGGACUUGAGUACAGAAGAGGAGAGUGGAAUUCCACGUGUAGCGGUGAAAUGCGUAGAGAUGUGGAGGAACACCAGUGGCGAAGGCGACUCUCUGGUCUGUAACUGACGCUGAGGAGCGAAAGCGUGGGGAGCGAACAGGAUUAGAUACCCUGGUAGUCCACGCCGUAAACGAUGAGUGCUAGGUGUUAGGG